UCGGUUAAAAUUGAUAAAAAACGACUUCAGUAAAUAAUUUACCUAAUUAUUUAACAAAAUGUUCAAUCUCUCUUAUUUGGUUUCCUUUUCAAUUAAAUGAUCAACGUGAUCCUUUCAUUCUAGUUGAUUCUUCAAACUACAUUUUGACCAAUUACUGUCCUAUUCAUCUACUAAUUAACAAAAAGCGUCGAAGGUAAAGAGGCACGAAAUAACAAGGGCGACAAUGAGAGAAACUUGGCAACUCUUGAACUUUCGUCUACCACCAAGUGGAAUAACAUUAUAAUCUUUAGUGGGAUUACAAAGGGUCUCCCAAGUACCUCGCUGAAUGCGAAAAUGGAAUUUAAUGGAAUACGAUAGUAGAACAGCACAGACGAUGACCGAAGAGAGUGCAGCGCGGGGAAUGAAGUAGAAGUAUGGUGUCAGCAACGCCAGCGUCAGUAUCACUAUUAUACCUGAAUACAUAAAAAAUAUAUAUUGAAA